GCCAAGCGUGGUGGCACAUGCUUGUGGUCCCAGCUACUUGGGAGGCUGAGAUGGGGGAAUCACUUGAGCUCAGGAGGUUGAGGCUGCAGUGAGCUAUGGUCAUGCCACUGCACUCUAGCCUGGGCAACAGAGUGAGACCCUGUCUCAA
ensembl:misc_RNA Metazoa_SRP Metazoan signal recognition particle RNA